AUACGGAGGGUGCAAGCGUUACUCGGAAUCACUGGGCGUAAAGCGCGCGCAGGCGGCUAUUUAAGUUGGAUGUGAAAGCCUACGGCUCAACCGUAGAACUGCAUCCAAAACUAUUUAGCUAGAGUGUGGGAGAGGAAGAUGGAAUUAGUUGUGUAGGGGUAAAAUCCGUAGAGAUAACUAGGAAUGCCAAAAGCGAAGGCAAUCUUCUGGAACACUACUGACGCUGAGGUGCGAAAGCGUGGGGAGCAAACAGGAUUAGAAACCCCUGUAGUCC
rnacentral:rRNA from 1 species